AAGGAAUUUGCAUUUAUUUGAUAGAAUGAAUUAACUUUACCUUCAGUACAGUUGUGAUGUACAUAUACCGGUACUUGUAUGUGUCACACAUAUAACAACCACAAAUAUACUGUACAAUGUGCCACAGUGACUGUUGUUUAUUUUUCUAUGAUUGCAAACAGAUUUGGAUGAAUUUUAAUGUCUUACAUUGUGUGUGUGAUGUUGAACAUUUCUGCAGUAUUUAAUAUCAUUAAUUAAAUGUUUGUGCACUGUAGCUUUUUAAUUGCUCUUGAGAAAAAUCAUCUUUUUGAAGAAUAGUGAGUUUUAAAAAUGAUUAUAUUUGGCCUAAAGCAAAAUGAUAUCAAUUAUUUUUUAUUGUUUACAAUUUCUCUAGAAACUUUGAAAAAUAUCAAUAAAAUGCAAGAUUAAUUAAAAUCUAUAGAUAUUUACUGUGCACUGUAUAUCAGCUUAAUAAUGUAUACAGUUUUCAUUUUGUGGAAAUCAAGUUUUCAAAGUAGCAGUUAUUAAGCAAUUAAGUGAAAAAUAAUGUGUCAAGUUUGCAUAAGUUGAUGGUUCAUUUACAAGUAUAUUUUUAACAAGUAGACUGACAUUCAUGUAAAGAGAGGAUCUUUGAUGAAUAUUUUGCAGAAUUGAGUCAUUUUAUUGGGUAAUAUUUGUGGGCUUGUAGUAUAGCUUUUUCUUUUAUUUUAUAUAAUGUUAUAAUUUAUAACAAUUGAUUUUAGUGGUCCUAUUUAUUUGCUAUAUGAAAACCAGUUUUAGAUUGGAGAAGUUCUCUCCCCUUUUCUCUUGUUUUUGAGAUCUCAAAUUUGAAGAUAUUGAGUACAUUACAGAUCUUCUGAUCUGCAGAGAAUCAAUUCAAUUGGAGUUAUCAUGUUCAAUCAAUUAUUGACUUCAGUAUAGGUAGUGGUCUACCUUAGUUCAUAGGGAAACAUUGUUUCGGAAUGACAAUAUAAUUUUUCAUAUUGUCAGGUACAGUCAGUGGAAAUUAUCUGAAACUAGUCUAUUUUGCAACUGAAUUAAUUUUGAAAUGGUUCAGUUUGCAAUUCAUUGUAAAAGUCUUAAUGUUUAAUGUGAAAUAAAACAUUGAA
rnacentral:misc_RNA from 1 species